CCUCCUCACUCCCUCUUCCUUUUUCGUGUCCGAUUCUCGAAUUGAGACCGGAUUUUUGUCUUGAAUCACUUCCUAAACUAUAUAGUUGUGGGUAUUGCUUGGUUUAUUAGAACCCACUUCGGGUUUAGUUCGAUUUUUGUGUUCUUGAAUUUGAUUCAUGGAAAAAUCUUGAUAAGAUGAUAACUUUGUAUGCAUAUUGGAUUUUGUAAAUUUUUAAAACAGAUUUAUGAGUUGGGCUUGAUUAAUAUUGAUUUGUUUUGAUGAUUGGGUUUAAGAUUAUGCAUACAAGUAUGAUGGUAUGCUUUUAGAAUGGUACUUUGAGAGUGUAAGUAGCGGAUUAAUGAUUUAGAACGUUAUAAAUUUGUAGACUGCUGCUGGGCUGUUUUUGUAGCAUAAUUUUGGGUUAAUUGAAUCGACUUUUGUGCCUAAUAUUUCUGUGAUAAGGUGUUCCUUGAUGUCUAUAUCAAGUACGAAAAAGAAUUUCGAUGUUUCAUUAUAUGAGCUAAAAGAUAUAGCCAUUUAAGUGACAUAUGUGCGAAAUUUUGUUGUGCUGUUGUGAUGCAUCUGUUGGAGUCAUUUUCUGGGUAAAUUAUGAUAUGCAUGAGCAGUAGUUUCUGGUCAUAUUAUAUGAUAAUUGGAGUCUAGUUUACUCUCCAAAAAGAAUCAUUGCAUUUAGAUUAAUGAGUUGGGAGUUAUGAUUAUUUUAGUGAGGUAUGUGCAAUAAGCAAAACUGCUCCGAUUUUUGAUUUUAUAAAUUAUAGUUAAAUUACUUUGACUUUGAUUUUUAAGCCAAAACAAACUUUGUAGCUACUUGGGGAGUUCAGGAAAGUCUCCUCAAAAUUUCAAGUGAAAAUCAUAUAUUUCUGAUUUAUUAAAAAUGUUUGAAUGUCGGUAGCGCAACUUUGUGAAAAUUCUGUUUUAAGGUCACAAAGAGAGUUUUCUUCACAAAUUCAAAUAUAUGAGUUGAGUUGUGAUUUAUUAGAGUAUAAAUGUGUAUUACUGGUUAUUGGUCAGUAGUUGUUAAUUUGUUUGAUUUAAAAUUUGAUUGGUUGGUUGUUGGUAUUAUUUUCAAACAGGUGGAUAGUCCGAUAAAUAGAAGAGAUGAUGCCGAAAUUUCUAAAAAUAUUAAUUUUCAAAAUCUUAUCAGCACAUCCCUCAAGUAUGGUCAUCACUACUAGUCGAGAAUAUUGUAUGGGGAUUUUGUUUUUAUUAGAAAAUAUGUACAAACAAACAAUACUAGUUAUACAUGUAAUUUGGCGUAAAAUCUUUUCGAAGAUAGAUAUAUUUUUUUUAGAUGUAUGUUAGUGGCUAUGGUAUGUGACUACUAUGUGUAGCAUGCUUAAGUGAUAUAUGCUUAUAUGCUUUAUAUAUGUUCCAAUGUGUAUGUGUACUCUUACUAGCCUAUGUGAUUAAAGGCAGUCAAUAAUAUUUAUAAUUAUCGAAAGGGUAUAUAUAAGUAGACGUUCAGGGUGAACGUCGAUUGAUUAUUAGGAUACUAAAAUAGUGUCUCUACGCGUGUAGAUUCAAAAGACGAGACUGUGAAACUUAGGAAAGGAAAGGCUUUGUUAGGUGACAGUUAGAGAAUUACUUGGCCAAGUGGGAAGCGAGUUGAGCUAAGCAAGAGGAAGAUGGCCAGUCCUAGGUGCUCAGUUCGUUAGGCUGUCUACAUCCCCCUCUCUAUUUCGUUAGAUUACUUUACCAGCUCAGCUAGAGGACGCUUUGGAUAUAGUCAGUGGGGAGUAAGUAUGUUAGUAUGGACCGUUGUAAACAGUACCUUUGAGAUGUUUUAUAUAAUUCCAAGUCGGAAUUAUGGUUGAUGCUAUUUAUUAAGAGUUUGUAAUAAGUUUAUAACUUAUUAUUUUGGUUAGUAGUUGUAACUUGUUUCA